rnacentral:rRNA from 1 species
CUCAGGAUGAACGCUGGCGGCGUGCCUAAUACAUGCAAGUCGAACGCACAGCGAAAGGUGCUUGCACCUUUCAAGUGAGUGGCGAACGGGUGAGUAACACGUGGACAACCUGCCUCAAGGCUGGGGAUAACAUUUGGAAACAGAUGCUAAUACCGAAUAAAACUUAGUGUCGCAUGACACAAAGUUAAAAGGCGCUUUGGCGUCACCUAGAGAUGGAUCCGCGGUGCAUUAGUUAGUUGGUGGGGUAAAGGCCUACCAAGACAAUGAUGCAUAGCCGAGUUGAGAGACUGAUCGGCCACAUUGGGACUGAGACACGGCCCAAACUCCUACGGGAGGCUGCAGUAGGGAAUCUUCCACAAUGGGCGAAAGCCUGAUGGAGCAACGCCGCGUGUGUGAUGAAGGCUUUCGGGUCGUAAAGCACUGUUGUAUGGGAAGAACAGCUAGAAUAGGGAAUGAUUUUAGUUUGACGGUACCAUACCAGAAAGGGACGGCUAAAUACGUGCCAGCAGCCGCGGUAAUACGUAUGUCCCGAGCGUUAUCCGGAUUUAUUGGGCGUAAAGCGAGCGCAGACGGUUGAUUAAGUCUGAUGUGAAAGCCCGGAGCUCAACUCCGGAAUGGCAUUGGAAACUGGUUAACUUGAGUGCAGUAGAGGUAAGUGGAACUCCAUGUGUAGCGGUGGAAUGCGUAGAUAUAUGGAAGAACACCAGUGGCGAAGGCGGCUUACUGGACUGUAACUGACGUUGAGGCUCGAAAGUGUGGGUAGCAAACAGGAUUAGA